rnacentral:rRNA from 1 species
GAUGAACGCUGGCGGCGUGCCUAAUACAUGCAAGUCGAGCGAACAGACGAGGAGCUUGCUCCUCUGACGUUAGCGGCGGACGGGUGAGUAACACGUGGAUAACCUACCUAUAAGACUGGGAUAACUUCGGGAAACCGGAGCUAAUACCGGAUAAUAUAUUGAACCGCAUGGUUCAAUAGUGAAAGACGGUUUUGCUGUCACUUAUAGAUGGAUCCGCGCAGCAUUAGCUAGUUGGUAAGGUAACGGCUUACCAAGGCGACGAUGCGUAGCCGACCUGAGAGGGUGAUCGGCCACACUGGAACUGAGACACGGUCCAGACUCCUACGGGAGGCAGCAGUAGGGAAUCUUACGCGAUGGGCGAGAGCCUGACGGAGCAACGCCGCGUGAGUGAUGAAGGUGUUCGGAUCGUAAAACGCUGUUAUUAGGGAAGAACAAAUGUGUAAGUAACUAUGCACGUCUUGACGGUACCGGAUCAGAAAGCCACGGCUAACUACGUG